CACGUAGGACGCAAGCGUUAUCCGGAAUUACUGGGCGUAAAGAGCGUGUAGGCGGUGCUGUAAGUCAACCGUGAAAGCUCCCGGCUAAACUGGGAGAGGUCGGAUGAGACUGCAGCGCUAGUGGGUCGUAGAGGAAUGUGGAAUUCCAGGUGUAGCGGUGAAAUGCGUAGAUAUCUGGAGGAACACCGGUGGCGAAGGCGGCAUCCUGGACCGGUAUUGACGCUGAGGCGCGAAAGCUAGGGGAGCAAACGGG
rnacentral:rRNA from 1 species